GGAGGGGUGGCUGAGAGGCUUAAAGCACCGGACUGAUACUCCGAUGCACGGUGCUGGAACACCGUGCCGUGGGUUCGAAUCCCACCCCCUCCG
rnacentral:tRNA from 1 species